UCGAGGAUACAAGUGUGCUGAGGCCGCUGGUUUUUAACCGAGUGAAGCCUUCUAAGAAAGGAGUGGGCCAUACGUAGGAUUGUGACCCUGAUUUUCCUGUGAUAAAGAAAAUGGAGAUUGUGCCAUUGACUGAGUUGACCCUCUGCUCCUUGAUCUCUUGUUGGAACUGAGCGUCUUGUCGCCUGUGAAGGAAGUGAUGGCCCAC
rnacentral:lncRNA from 1 species